rnacentral:rRNA from 1 species
GACGAACCGUGCGAACGUUGUUCGGAAUCACUGGGCUUAAAGGGCGCGUAGGCGGGCUGUCAAGUCCGGGGUGAAAGCCCUCCGCUCAACGGGGGAAUGGCCUUGGAUACUGACGGUCUGGAGGAAGGUAGGGGCGUGCGGAACUCUCGGUGGAGCGGUGAAAUGCGUAGAUAUCGGGAGGAACGCCGGUGGCGAAAGCGGCACGCUGGACCUUUUCUGACGCUGAGGCGCGAAAGCCAGGGGAGCGAACGGG